GACGAACGCUGGCGGCGUGCUUAACACAUGCAAGUCGAACGGAAAGGCCCUGCUUUUGUGGUGUGCUCGAGUGGCGAACGGGUGAGUAACACGUGAGUAACCUGCCCUUGACUUUGGUAUAACUUCAGGAAACUGUGGCUAAUCCCGGAUAGGAGCUCCUGCUUCAUGGUGGGGGUUGGAAAGUUUCGGCGGUUGGGGAUGGACUCGCGGCUUAUCAGCUUGUUGGUGGGGUAGUGGCUUACCAAGGCUUUGACGGAUAGCCGGCCUGAGAGGGGGACCGGCAACAUUGGGACUGAGAUACGGCCCAGACUCCUACGGGAGGAAGAAGGGGGGAAUAUUGCACAAUGGGCGGAAGCCUGAUGCAGCAACGCCGCGUGCGGGAUGACGGCCUUCGGGUUGUAAACCGCUUUCGCCUGUGACGAAGCGUGAGUGACGGUAAUGGGUAAAGAAGCACCGGCUAACUACGUG
rnacentral:rRNA from 1 species